rnacentral:rRNA from 1 species
CAGCCGCGGUAAUUCCAGCUCCAAUAGCGUAUAUUAAAGUUGUUGCAGUUAAAAAGCUCGUAGUUGAAUUUCGGGGUUAGUAGGUUGGUCAUGCCUCUGGUAUGUACUGGUCUCACUGAUUCCUCCUUCCUUAUGAACCGUAAUGCCAUUAAUUUGGUGUUGUCGGGGAAUUUAGGACUGUUACUUUGAAAAAAUUAGAGUGUUUAAAGCAAGCUAACGCUUGAAUACAUUAGCAUGGAAUAAUGAAAUAGGACGUUCGAUCUUAUUUUGUUGGUUUCUAGGAUUGACGUAAUGAUUAAUAGGGAUAGUUGGGGGCGAUUAGUAUUCAAUUGUCAGAGGUGAAAUUCUUGGUAUUUAUUGAAGACUAAUACUAGCGAAAGUCAUUUGCCAAGGAUGUUUUCAUUAAAUUCAAGAACGAAAAGUUUAGGGGAUCGAAGACGAUCAGAUACCCGUCGUAGUCGUUUAACCUAUAAACUAUAGCCGACUAGGGAUCGGAUGAUGUUAAUUUUUUAAUUCGGCACCUUACGGGAAAC